UAGGGAAUCUUCCACAAUGGGCGCAAGCCUGAUGGAGCAACGCCGCGUGAGUGAUGAAGGCCUUCGGGUUGUAAAACUCUGUCUUCUGUGACGAACAAGCCUGUGAGUGGAAAGCUCAGGCCCUGACGGUAACAGAGGAGGAAGCCACGGCUAACUACGUGCCAGCAGCCGCGGUAAUACGUAGGUGGCAAGCGUUGUCCGGAAUCACUGGGCGUAAAGCGCGCGCAGGCGGCGAUCUACGUCUGGGGUGAAAGCCCGGAGCUCAACUCCGGGACUGCCUUGGAUACGGGAUCGCUUGAGGAUUGGAGAGGCAAGGGGGAAUUCCACGUGUAGCGGUGAAAUGCGUAGAUAUGUGGAGGAACACCUGUGGCGAAGGCGCCUUGCUAGCCAAUUCUGACGCUGAGGCGCGAAAGCGUGGGGAGCAAACAGGAUUAGAUACCCUGGUAGUCCACGCCGUAAACGAUGAGUGCUAGGUGUU
rnacentral:rRNA from 1 species